GACGAACGCUGGCGGCGUGCCUAAUACAUGCAAGUAGAACGCUGAAGGAGGAGCUUGCUUCUCUGGAUGAGUUGCGAACGGGUGAGUAACGCGUAGGUAACCUGCCUGGUAGCGGGGGAUAACUAUUGGAAACGAUAGCUAAUACCGCAUAAGAGUAGAUGUUGCAUGACAUUUGCUUAAAAGGUGCAAUUGCAUCACUACCAGAUGGACCUGCGUUGUAUUAGCUAGUUGGUGAGGUAACGGCUCACCAAGGCAACGAUACAUAGCCGACCUGAGAGGGUGAUCGGCCACACUGGGACUGAGACACGGCCCAGACUCCCACGGGAGGCCGCAGUAGGGAAUCUUCGGCAAUGGACGGAAGGCUGACCGAGCAAAGCCGCGGGAGGGAAGAAGGGUUUCGGAUCGUAAAGCUCUGUUGUAAGAGAAGAACGAGUGUGAGAGUGGAAAGUUCACACUGUGACGGUAUCUUACCAGAAAGGGACGGCUAACUACGUG
rnacentral:rRNA from 1 species